rnacentral:rRNA from 1 species
GAUCAACGCUGGCGGCGUGCUUAACACAUGCAAGUCGAACGAAGUUUUUCCUUCGGGAGACACUUAGUGGCGGACGGGUGAGUAACGCGUGGGUAACCUGCCCUGUACAGGGGGACAACAGCUGGAAACGGCUGCUAAUACCGCAUAAGCACUUAGCACUGCAUGGUGCAUAGGGAAAAGGAGCAAUCCGGUACAGGAUGGACCCGCGUCUGAUUAGCCAGUUGGCAGGGUAACGGCCUACCAAAGCGACGAUCAGUAGCCGAUCUGAGAGGAUGUACGGCCACAUUGGGACUGAGACACGGCCCAGACUCCUACGGGAGGCAGCAGUGGGGAAUAUUGCACAAUGGAGGAAACUCUGAUGCAGCGACGCCGCGUGAGUGAAGAAGUAUUUCGGUAUGUAAAGCUCUAUCAGCAGGGAAGAAAAUGACGGUACCUGACUAAGAAGCACCGGCUAAAUACG